AUUUAUUUGAGAGAGAGCGAGAGCAUGAGAGCUGAGAAGGUCAGAGGAAGAAGCAGACUCCCUAUGGUGCUGGGAGCCUGAUGCGGGACUCAGUCCCAGAACUCCAGGAUCAUGACCUAAGCUGAAGGCAGUCGCUUAACCAACUGAGCCACCCAGGAAUGGAGAAGCCAACAUCACAGAGUUCCCUUAAUGAACACUGAAGUCACUAGAGACUCCAUCAUUUAAAGUACCACUCAGUAAUUGACUAUCAGAAGAAGAAAAUUGUACCCAGACGGUAGGAACAGGAUUCAUAAAUGGAUGAAUCAAGAUCUGAAGAGAAUGAUCAUCUUUACCUCUACUCUGUUUGCGUCUACCUUGGACCUACCUUGAGCAAAUUCCAUCGAUAACAGUUGCUUUGACGGAAAACUGUAGCAGGUUAUAACGCCAGUGAGUAGAGAAGCCCUUUGAGGAACUGUAAUUGAUGAGAGAAGCCAAACACAGACAGAUGUGCUAUGUCCCGGCAAGGGAAGUAUCCAAUGGCCAGCCUUCAGAGUACAGUCAGUGUGAUGUUUUGCCCAGAGACUGCUGUUAUCCCAAAUGAGAAGGAAUGUGUGGUACUAUUAGAAAUGAAUACAUCAAGCUAUAGUCAAACACCAGGAGAUAAAUGGAAAGGAGCAAGUUAGAAAACCACCCUGCUAACUCCCUCAUGCACUUGUGACAAAGACCUUCCAUCAAUCAAAUCAUGAAUACAACUACUUCCUACCAUUCUUUUCAUCAUUCUCUCAGGCCAUUAUUUGCAAGUCAAGUGGGUAAUUCGUAGGUGUGUGCUCAUUAAGAACCACUGCAUGGAGUCCUUCUCUCUUUGAAUUAGACAUCAACAAACAGAACUGACUUCUAAAAUAAUUGAGAUAUAAAGACAGCACAAGCAAGGGGAGAAGCAGAGGCAGAGUAACAAGCAGACUCCAGAGCCCCACAUGGUGCUCCAUCCCACAACCCUGAGAUCAUGAGCUGAAAUCAAGAGUUAGAAGCUUAACCUACUGAGCCACCCAGAUUUUGGACCAUGCAAAAUGGCUUAUUGGAGUUGAGAUCAGCAUGCAUUCUACUGAAGCUUACUGGGUUUGAAGCAUCAGCUAUCCAAGAUCUCUCUCAUGGAACAUCAGCUGUAGGCCCUAUAUUUUCAUAUUCCCAACAGUUGGUGUAGUCAUGGGGAAUCACAGAUAACUAAGCUGGAAGAGAUUUUUAAAAAUCAUUUGGUUCCAACCAUUUGUGCUAUAUUCCAAUGUAACUCUUCCCAACUGCCAUUAAACCACACUUCUAAAUUCUCCUGUUUUGUUGAUCUUUCCAGUGAAAUAGUUCUUGCAUAUUGCCAACCUAUUGGUAAAUUUUCAUCUUUAUCCUACUCCAUUUCUCAGCAGCAUUAGACACAAUAAACCAUGAUAGCUUUCUUGAA